rnacentral:rRNA from 1 species
GACGUAGGGCGCGAGCGUUGUCCGGAUUUAUUGGGCGUAAAGAGCUCGUAGGCGGCUUGUCGCGUCGUCCGUGAAAACUCGGGGCUUAACUCCGGGCCUGCAGUGGGUACGGGCUGACUAGAGUGCGGUAGGGGAGACUGGAAUUCCUGGUGUAGCGGUGAAAUGCGCAGAUAUCAGGAGGAACACCAGUGGCGAAGGCGGUGGUCUGGGCCGGAACUGACGCUGAGGAGCGAAAGCGUGGGUAGCAAACAGG